AAACUUAAUUCAAAUAGUUUGGGGUGGGGGGGGUUGAACGGCUGCAAGAUUUGGUUAUCCGACAUUGAUUUUUACAUAUAUCCAUAUGGGUCAAUCAAUUUUUCCCAAAUUAAGUUAAGAGGGGGGUGGGGGGUCAGAGAAAAAACUAUGUGAAUUAAGUUUUUUAUCCUUCAUUGAACUUUUGAUGUCGUCCCUUACCAAUAU
rnacentral:lncRNA from 1 species